CAUUUCGCCUCUUUUCACGACGUAGAAACAACAAUGGCGACACUGGCGACAUCUAGUAAUGAGUUUUGAGUCUUAAGUUAGUUGCACUGUCACAGUUGGUCGCAGACAUGACAGUCGUUCGUUAUCGUUACUUUCAUAAGUUACUUCAAAUUUCGAAACAAAUUGAAACUGUUAAACAACGGAGAUCGGAUAAUGAGUUAACUGUUUUUAAAUAAUUUCAGCUGACGUUUUCGUGUGCCUGGACAACUAGGUGUUCGACUGCUCGUGUAAAUAGAAAUAAAAUGGCUAAUCCAGUAAUGCAAGUUUGAAAGCUGUGUCUUCUGAAGCUCAAUGAUCUCUACUGAAAGUUUUUGUAAAUCUUCAAGAUAUUGAUGCCUUUGCCAGAUCCAACUCUUUGCUGCUAUCUAUUUUGCGGACAACAGUAAUCAGCUACUUAAGAUUUUGUGGUGAUCUUGAGUGAUCUCUCCAUUAGUUCUAAUUUAGGACAUGUAUAAGAUUGAUAGAUUUUAG
rnacentral:lncRNA from 1 species